CAACUACCCCCUCUGUCCCAAAUUUCUUGUCUUAGAUUUGUCUAAAUACAAAUGUAUCUAAUACUAAAAUGUGACUUGAUACAUCUGUAUCUAGAAAAAUCUAAGACAAGAAUUUUGGGACAGAGGGAGUACUUU
rnacentral:pre_miRNA from 1 species